rnacentral:rRNA from 1 species
CAGUCGCCGCGGUAAUACGAAGGGGGCUAGCGUUAUUCGGAAUUACUGGGCUUAAAGCGCGUGUAGGCGGGCCGCCACGUCGGUUGCUGAAAUCCCCCGGCUCAACCGGGGAAGUGGCAUCGACACGAGCGGCCUUGAGGGGGGUAGGGGGAUCUGGAACUUCCGGUGGAGCGGUGAAAUGCGUUGAGAUCGGAAGGAACGCCCGUGGCGAAAGCGAGGUCCUGGACCCUUUCUGACGCUGAGACGCGAAAGCCAGGGGAGCGAACGGGAUUAGAUACCCCGGUAGUCCCUGUCUCUUAUA